AGCUGGUUCUCCCCGAAAGCUAUUUAGGUAGCGCCUCGUGAAUUCAUCUCCGGGGGUAGAGCACUGUUUCGGCUAGGGGGCCAUCCCGGCUUACCAACCCGAUGCAAACUGCGAAUACCGGAGAAUGUUAUCACGGGAGACACACGGCGGGUGCUAACGUCCGUCGUGAAGAGGGAAACAACCCAGACCGCCAGCUAAGGUCCCAAAGUCAUGGUUAAGUGGGAAACGAUGUGGGAAGGCCCAGACAGCCAGGAUGUUGGCUUAGAAGCAGCCAUCAUUUAAAGAAAGCGUAAUAGCUCACUGGUCGAGUCGGCCUGCGCGGAAGAUGUAACGGGGCUAAACCAUGCACCGAAGCUGCGGCAGCGACGCUGAUGCGUUGUUGGGUAGGGGAGCGUUCUGUAAGCCUGUGAAGGUGGCCUGUGAGGGUUGCUGGAGGUAUCAGAAGUGCGAAUGCUGACAUAAGUAACGAUAAAGCGGGUGAAAAGCCCGCUCGCCGGAAGACCAAGGGUUCCUGUCCAACGUUAAUCGGGGCAGGGUGAGUCGACCCCUAAGGCGAGGCCGAAAGGCGUAGUCGAUGGGAAACGGGUUAAUAUUCCCGUACUUGGUGUUACUGCGAAGGGGGGACGGAGAAGGCUAUGUUGGCCGGGCGACGGUUGUCCCGGUUUAAGCGUGUAGGUGUGUGUUCCAGGUAAAUCCGGUUCACUUUAACACUGAGGCGUGAUGACGAGGCACUACGGUGCUGAAGCAACAAAUGCCCUGCUUCCAGGAAAAGCCUCUAAGCAUCAGGUAACAUCAAAUCGUACCCCAAACCGACACAGGUGGUCAGGUAGAGAAUACCAAGGCGCUUGAGAGAACUCGGGUGAAGGAACUAGGCAAAAUGGUGCCGUAACUUCGGGAGAAGGCACGCUGACACGUAGGUGAAGUGAUUUACUCAUGGAGCUGAAGUCAGUCGAAGAUACCAGCUGGCUGCAACUGUUUAUUAAAAACACAGCACUGUGCAAACACGAAAGUGGACGUAUACGGUGUGACGCCUGCCCGGUGCCGGAAGGUUAAUUGAUGGGGUCAGCGCAAGCGAAGCUCCUGAUCGAAGCCCCGGUAAACGGCGGCCGUAACUAUAACGGUCCUAAGGUAGCGAAAUUCCUUGUCGGGUAAGUUCCGACCUGCACGAAUGGCGUAAUGAUGGCCAGGCUGUCUCCACCCGAGACUCAGUGAAAUUGAACUCGCUGUGAAGAUGCAGUGUACCCGCGGCAAGACGGAAAGACCCCGUGAACCUUUACUAUAGCUUGACACUGAACAUUGAGCCUUGAUGUGUAGGAUAGGUGGGAGGCUUUGAAGUGUGGACGCCAGUCUGCAUGGAGCCGGCCUUGAAAUACCACCCUUUAAUGUUUGAUGUUCUAACGUGGACCCGUGAUCCGGGUUGCGGACAGUGUCUGGUGGGUAGUUUGACUGGGGCGGUCUCCUCCUAAAGAGUAACGGAGGAGCACGAAGGUUGGCUAAUCCUGGUCGGACAUCAGGAGGUUAGUGCAAUGGCAUAAGCCAGCUUGACUGCGAGCGUGACGGCGCGAGCAGGUGCGAAAGCAGGUCAUAGUGAUCCGGUGGUUCUGAAUGGAAGGGCCAUCGCUCAACGGAUAAAAGGUACUCCGGGGAUAACAGGCUGAUACCGCCCAAGAGUUCAUAUCGACGGCGGUGUUUGGCACCUCGAUGUCGGCUCAUCACAUCCUGGGGCUGAAGUAGGUCCCAAGGGUAUGGCUGUUCGCCAUUUAAAGUGGUACGCGAGCUGGGUUUAGAACGUCGUGAGACAGUUCGGUCCCUAUCUGCCGUGGGCGCUGGAGAACUGAGGGGGGCUGCUCCUAGUACGAGAGGACCGGAGUGGACGCAUCACUGGUGUUCGGGUUGUCAUGCCAAUGGCACUGCCCGGUAGCUAAAUGCGGAAGAGAUAAGUGCUGAAAGCAUCUAAGCACGAAACUUGCCCCGAGAUGAGUUCUCCCUGAGACUUUAGGUCUCCUGAAGGAACGUUGAAGACGACGACGUUGAUAGGCCGGGUGUGUAAGCGCAGCGAUGCGUUGAGCUAACCGGUACUAAUGAACCGUGAGGCUUAACCUUACA
rnacentral:rRNA from 1 species